UACGAAGGGAGCUAGCGUUGUUCGGAAUCACUGGGCGUAAAGCGCACGUAGGCGGAUUUGCCAGUCAGGGGUGAAAUCCCGGGGCUCAACCUCGGAACUGCCUUUGAUACAGCAAGUCUUGAGUUCGAGAGAGGUGGGUGGAAUUCCUAGUGUAGAGGUGAAAUUCGUAGAUAUUGGGAAGAACACCGAUGGCGAAGGCAGCCAUCUGGACCGACACUGACGCUGAGGCGCGAAAGCGUGGGGAGCAAACAGGG
rnacentral:rRNA from 1 species